rnacentral:rRNA from 1 species
GAUGAACGCUAGCGGCAGGCUUAAUACAUGCAAGUCGUGGGGCAGCACAGAGUAGCAAUACUUGGGUGGCGACCGGCAAACGGGUGCGGAACACGUACGCAACCUUCCUUCAGGCGGGGAAUAGCCCAGAGAAAUUUGGAUUAAUACCCCAUAAAAUUUUGAGAUGGCAUCAUCUUAUUAUUAAAGCUUCGGCACCUGAUGAUGGGCGUGCGGCUGAUUAGGUAGUUGGCGGGGUAACGGCCCACCAAGCCUACGAUCAGUAGCUGAUGUGAGAGCAUGAUCAACCACACGGGCACUGAGACACGGGCCCGACUCCUACGGGAGGCAGCAGUAAGGAAUAUUGGUCAAUGGACGAAAGUCUGAACCAGCCAUGCCGCGUGGAGGAUGAAGGUCCUCUGGAUUGUAAACUUCUUUUAUUUGGGACGAAAAAAGGGAAUUCUUUCCCACUUGACGGUACCAGAUGAAUAAGCACCGGCUAACUCCGUGCCAGCAGCCGCCGUAAGAC